rnacentral:rRNA from 1 species
AAGCUUGCUUCUUCUGAUUUAGCGGCGGACGGGUGAGUAACACGUGGGCAACCUGCCCUGUAGAUUGGGAUAACUCCGGGAAACCGGGGCUAAUACCGAAUAAUCCAUUUCCUCUCAUGGGGAGAUGUUAAAAGACGGUCUCGGCUGUCACUACAGGAUGGGCCCGCGGCGCAUUAGCUAGUUGGUGAGGUAACGGCUCACCAAGGCGACGAUGCGUAGCCGACCUGAGAGGGUGAUCGGCCACACUGGGACUGAGACACGGCCCAGACUCCUACGGGAGGCAGCAGUAGGGAAUCUUCCACAAUGGACGAAAGUCUGAUGGAGCAAUGCCGCGUGAGUGAAGAAGGUUUUCGGAUCGUAAAACUCUGUUGUGAGGGAAGAACAAGUACGAGAGUAACUGCUCGUACCUUGACGGUACCUCAUUAGAAAGCCACGGCUAACUACGUGCCAGCAGCCGCGGUAAUACGUAGGUGGCAAGCGUUGUCCGGAAUUAUUGGGCGUAAAGCGCGCGCANGCGGUCCUUUAAGUCUGAUGUGAAAUCCCACGGCUCNACCGNGGAANGNCAUUGGAAACUGGGGGACUUGAGUACAGAANAGGAAAGCGGAAUUCCNAGUGUAGCGGUGAAAUGCGUANAGAUUUGGAGGAACACCAGNGGCGAANNGGNUUUCUGGNCUGUAACUGACGNUG